rnacentral:rRNA from 1 species
GGGUUGUGAGGUUAAGCGACUAAGCGUACACGGUGGAUGCCCUGGCAGUCAGAGGCGAUGAAGGACGUGCUAAUCUGCGAAAAGCGUCGGUAAGGUGAUAUGAACCGUUACAGCCGGCGAUGUCCGAAUGGGGAAACCCAGUGUGAUUCGUCACACUAUCGUUAACUGAAUACAUAGGUUAACGAGGCGAACCGGGGGAACUGAAACAUCUAAGUACCCCGAGGAAAAGAAAUCAACCGAGAUUCCCCCAGUAGCGGCGAGCGAACGGGGAGCAGCCCAGAGUCUGAAUCAGCUUGUGUGUUAGUGGAACGGUCUGGAAAGUCCGACGGUACAGGGUGAUAGUCCCGUACACCAAAAUGCACAGGCUGUGAACUCGAAGAGUAGGGCGGGACACGUGGUAUCCUGUCUGAAUAUGGGGGGACCAUCCUCCAAGGCUAAAUACUCCUGACUGACCGAUAGUGAACCAGUACCGUGAGGGAAAGGCGAAAAGAACCCCGGCGAGGGGAGUGAAAAAGAACCUGAAACCGUGUACGUACAAGCAGUGGGAGCACCUUCGGGUGUGACUGCGUACCUUUUGUAUAAUGGGUCAGCGACUUAUAUUCUGUAGCAAGGUUAACCGUAUAGGGGAGCCGCAGGGAAACCGAGUCUUAACUGGGCGUUAAGUUGCAGGGUAUAGACCCGAAACCCGGUGAUCUAGCCAUGGGCAGGUUGAAGGUUGGGUAACACUAACUGGAGGACCGAACCGACUAAUGUUGAAAAAUUAGCGGAUGACUUGUGGCUGGGGGUGAAAGGCCAAUCAAACCGGGAGAUAGCUGGUUCUCCCCGAAAGCUAUUUAGGUAGCGCCUCGUGAAUUCAUCUUCGGGGGUAGAGCACUGUUUCGGCUAGGGGGUCAUCCCGACUUACCAACCCGAUGCAAACUACGAAUACCGAAGAAUGUUAUCACGGGAGACACACGGCGGGUGCUAACGUCCGUCGUGAAGAGGGAAACAACCCAGACCGCCAGCUAAGGUCCCAAAGUCACAGUUAAGUGGGAAACGAUGUGGGAAGGCACAGACAGCCAGGAUGUUGGCUUAGAAGCAGCCAUCAUUUAAAGAAAGCGUAAUAGCUCACUGGUCGAGUCGGCCUGCGCGGAAGAUGUAACGGGGCUAAACUGUGCACCGAAGCUGCGGCAGCGACACUAUGUGUUGUUGGGUAGGGGAGCGUUCUGUAAGCCUGCGAAGGUGGCCUGUGAGGGUUGCUGGAGGUAUCAGAAGUGCGAAUGCUGACAUAAGUAACGAUAAUGCGGGUGAAAAGCCCGCACGCCGGAAGACCAAGGGUUCCUGUCCAACGUUAAUCGGGGCAGGGUGAGUCGACCCCUAAGGCGAGGCCGAAAGGCGUAGUCGAUGGGAAACAGGUUAAUAUUCCUGUACUUGGUGUUACUGCGAAGGGGGGACGGAGAAGGCUAUGUUAGCCGGGCGACGGUUGUCCCGGUUUAAGCAUGUAGGCGGAGGUUCCAGGUAAAUCCGGUACCUU